ensembl:snRNA U5 U5 spliceosomal RNA
GUACUCUGCUUUCUCUUCAUUUCUUACAAAUUUUUCACCUUUUACCAAAGAUUUCAGUGGAGAAGGACUUUUCUCACUGUCAACCCAAGCAAUUUUAACCUUUACUUUGGCAAAGUAGAA